AGCAGUAGCCACGGGAAUACGUAGGGUGCUAGCGUUAAUCGGAAUUACUGGGCGUAAAGCGUGCGCAGGCGGUUUGUUAAGACAGAUGUGAAAUCCCCGGGCUUAACCUGGGAACCGCAUUUGUGACUGGCAAGCUAGAGUCUGGCAGAGGGGGGUGGAAUUCCGCGUGUAGCAGUGAAAUGCGUAGAUAUGCGGAGGAACACCGAUGGCGAAGGCAGCCCCCUGGGCCAACACUGACGCUCAUGCACGAAAGCGUGGGGAGCAAACAGGAUUAGAUACCCCCGUAGUCCCUGUCUCUUAUAC
rnacentral:rRNA from 1 species